ensembl:lncRNA
AAUAAGAUAAUCAAAAUUGCAUUAAAAUUGAUUACAUAAGAUUACAAGUAAAUUUUUAAUAAUCAUGUUUUCACAUUUUUUUUUUUUUUUUGGUAUUUGGUAUAUUUCCUUAUCCCUCCCUCCCUCCUAAAAAAAAAAAAAAAAAAAAAAAAAAAAAAAAAAAACAUGUACAGCCCACAAAGGUUGAUUGGUUCAGAACCUUUAUAAAUCACCAAGAUGCCCAGGUGAUCUUAAAAAAAAAAAGAAAGAAAUUAUUAUUUGAAGCUACUACAAAGUAUAUUUUGGUGUGAUGAACAUAAUGUACGACAUUAUUAUUUCUGAAGUACUAAAGAAAUUUGGUUUAUAUUUAUUAAAAGAAUUUUUAUGUGAAUUUGUGAAAAGGAUCAUUUCAAAAAUAUUUGAUCAAAUUUAUAUUAGUGAUGAUUCUAUUACCAAUAUAGUAUAAAUGUAUUAGAGGUGUCAAAAUGGCUGAAAUACUAAAUUCGAAUUUUUUACUUAAAUAUUAUCAUCAUUAUUUUGCUUCUCUCAUGAGGCCACAACAGAAUUCUAACGCAUAAUUAUAUUCGAAUGCAACGUUUUUGCAUUCAAAUGUGGAUUUCUAUUUUAAAUUCGACAAAUUAAUUAUAUAAAUACUAUUAUUACUAUAUAAGCACCAUUUCUAUUAAUUAUAUAAAUAUUAUAAAUACUUAAAAUAAAAAUAAAAUAAAAUAAAUUUAAUAAAUAAAAUAGUUAAAAAUAAAAAAUCUUAGUUUCUCAAUCCUGCUCCUUGUUUUACAUCAGGGUAGGGUUGGGAAGCCAUAGUGCAGGGCCACCAGGGGCAGUAUUGAGAAACACUUUAAAAUAUCUACAAACAUUUGACAGUGAGGGACAGCUUUUACACAAUUGGCAUGGCUACAGUUCUCAGAAAUAAUAAUUUUGUCCAUUAUUCAGUAGUUUCCCGGAGAGAGAUCUUCAUGUGUUUUGCCCACAACAAAACUUGUGUUGUAUGUUGGUCUGGAGCAGGUGGAACCGUCAUAAAGAUGAUUAAGAGCAGGAAUGCUCUUGAAAGCUUUCGGGAACAACUAGAACCACCUCCAGACUGCAUACAACACUUUAAGGCAAACACAUCUCUCUUUGUGAAAUCUCUUUCUGGCGGUUCGAGUGCCAGAGCGGACUCAGUGGAACAGUAAACAAAGCUGUGUGAGCAACUAAAAAUGUUCACUGCAACUGGCCCACAAAGACUGCCUUGCUAAAGACAACGCAAGGCCGUCCUUAGGGUGGUGCAACUGGUACAGCUGCACUGUGCCCUGCACUUUAGGGAACAGACCGAUGGGGCAGUUGGCCCCCAACCCCAACCUGGAACGCUCCCUACCUCGCACUGGGUCCACGCUAGCUUAGGAUGACACUGGCACGACGGUAAGCCUUUUGAUCAUAUAUAGCAGAUAAAAAAAAUAAACAGAUUACAUUGUAGUUAUCUUACUAGCUU